rnacentral:tRNA from 1 species
GGAGGGUUGGCUGAGUCAAGUCGAAGGCAACGGUUUCAAAAACCGCAGGGCGUUCUACCCCACGUCCCGAGGGUUCGAAUCCCUUCCCCUCCGCCA